ACGCUCGACACCUACGGGAGCAGCAGUGGGGAAUAUUGCACAAUGGGCGAAAGCCUGAUGCAGCAACGCCGCGUGAGCGAAGAAGGCCUUCGGGUCGUAAAGCUCUGUCCUCAAGGAAGAUAAUGACGGUACUUGAGGAGGAAGCCCGGCUAACUACGUGCCGGCAGCCGCGGUAAUACUGAGCGGGCGUGGCGAAGGCG
rnacentral:rRNA from 1 species